AGAUUGAACGCUGGCGGCAUGCCUUACACAUGCAAGUCGAACGGCAGCACGGGAGCAAUCCUGGUGGCGAGUGGCGAACGGGUGAGUAAUGCAUCGGAACGUGCCCUGAAGUGGGGGAUAACGUAGCGAAAGUUACGCUAAUACCGCAUAUUCUGUGAGCAGGAAAGCAGGGUAUCGCAAGACCUUGUGCUUUAGGAGCGGCCGAUGUCGGAUUAGCUAGUUGGUGAGGUAAAGGCUCACCAAGGCGACGAUCCGUAGCGGGUCUGAGAGGAUGAUCCGCCACACUGGGACUGAGACACGGCCCAGACUCCUACGGGAGGCAGCAGUGGGGAAUUUUGGACAAUGGGCGCGAAGCCUGAUCCAGCCAUGCCGCGUGAGUGAAGAGGCCUUCGGUUGUAAGCUCGUUCGGCGGGAAGAAGUGGCAGUACGGUUAAUACCGUGGUGUCGAGUGACGGUACCGCAGUAAGAAGACGACCGGACUAACGUACGUCGACCG
rnacentral:rRNA from 1 species